UAUGGUCGUAACAUUAUCGUUAAAGCUUUUUAGACUAUUCAGUAUGAUGUUGAUGUGUACAGGUAAAUAAAGCUUUUUAGACAAUUCAGUAUGAUGUUGAUGUGUACAGGUAAAUAAAGCUUUUUAGACAAUUCAGUAUGAUGUUGAUGUGUACAGGUAAAAAAAACUUUUUAGACAAUUCGGUAUGAUGUUGAUGUGUACAGGUAAAUAAAGCUUUUUAGACAAUUCGGUAUGAUGUUGAUGUGUACAGGUAAAUAAAGCUUUUUAGACAAUUCGGUAUGAUGUUGAUGUGUACAGGUAUAUAAAGCUUUUUAGACAAUUCAGUAUGAUGUUGAUGUG